rnacentral:rRNA from 1 species
UACGUAGGGUGCGAGCGUUAAUCGGAAUUACCGGGCGUAAAGCGUGCGCAGGCGGUUCGCUAAGACCGAUGUGAAAUCCCCGGGCUUAACCUGGGAACUGCAUUGGUGACUGGCGGGCUAGAGUAUGGCAGAGGGGGGUAGAAUUCCACGUGUAGCAGUGAAAUGCGUAGAGAUGUGGAGGAAUACCGAUGGCGAAGGCAGCCCCCUGGGCCAAUACUGACGCUCAUGCACGAAAGCGUGGGGAGCAAACAGG